rnacentral:lncRNA from 1 species
CGGGUGCCUCUCGCCCUGCAGGACGUGGCUGGCCUGGUCUGCCCCCAGCUGAGCCUCACCUGAGGGAGAGCUGGGGUGGGCCGCCUCGUUUACGACCGUGUAGUCGUCUUUUGCACACAAAGCCAUGUGAGUCCGUACGUGAGUCCUGUGGAAAGACAAGACAUGGAAUAGGAGUGACGUCCGUCCCCAGGCAUGAAGUGGAGAGCAUCACGCUGUGUGAGUUAAACACUGGCCAAGCACGGUGUGAGUCGGAGCCGGGGACCUGGCCAGAUGAGGGCUGCGUGCAGCUUUCACACCCCAGGCACGUGAGCACCGCCAAGCCCAGCCUCAGCCAGCAGCUGCUCUGCAAUGUGGAGUCACCAGUGGCCCCAAGGAUGGCAGGUGGGGGUGGCCUUGGGACUGAAUUAGGCCGACACCCAAGGCCUCUGUUCCUUCCCGUCCCUUCUCUCCCUUCGGAGGAUCAAAUGAGAGUUUCUAGGAAAGAAAACAUGGCCAGGCCCUCCUCCAGCGCCCAGGCAGGGCUCGAGCGGACGCCCGUGUGACCCCCACAUCCCUUCUACCCCUGUAGCUCUCUGACUCUGAUAUCCCAGUGGGAGGAACGAGGAGGGGACGGGUGAGGAGGAGGAAGAGGAGGAGACAUGAGGGUUAGGAGGAGCACAUCCUGAGUUUGUGAGGCUUCACUGACCUCUGGCCUCACAAACACACACAGGCCUGAGCUCCGGAUAUUUCUCCUGUUCUGGAGACAGUGAGAAGUGAAAGAGAAAUGGCUGCCCCUGCACCACUUACCGCGAAGGAGGCUCAAGGCUGGGGGGCCCCUCUGCCUUCCAGUGACCGCCCGUGUCACAUCCUGACCCGCUCAGCAGGAGAGACGGCCAGAGGCAUGGAUGCACGCUGACUCGUGGACGGCCGCUGUUUGACGAGACCAUCAAGGAGGGAGGAGCACCCGUGGAAAGGCGUGGCAGGGUGGUCGGGGCAGAGGUGUACAUCAGCCUAUCCAAUGCUCACGGCUGGAGGACGCCGCGCCCUGUGAAUGCUCACUGAGGACCAUCCCGGGCACUGGGGCUCUCCAUGUGAGAAUGGACAAUAUGCUGCCUUCCCAGCUGCCCCAUCCUUCCUGCGAGAGCUUGGGGAUGGGUGGCCACAGUGGCACUGGGGAGAACACGAGGGCUCCCCAGCAAGCGUUUUCUCUCAUGGAGGUGGCUCUGGUCACAGCGUCACUGCAGGGCGCAGCCACGGUGGCGGCCAAUGGAAACUGGGCUCUUCUUUUUCUUUUUUUUUUUGAGACAGAGUCUCGCUCUGUCACCCAGGCUGGAGUACAAUGGC